GAGUUUGAUCCUGGCUCAGGAUGAACGCUGGCGGCGUGCUUAACACAUGCAAGUCGAACGAAGCGCCUUGGACAGAUUCUUCGGAUGAAGUCUUUGGUGACUGAGUGGCGGACGGGUGAGUAACGCGUGGGUAACCUGCCUCAUACAGGGGGAUAACAGUUAGAAAUGGCUGCUAAUACCGCAUAAGCGCACGGUACUGCAUGGUACAGUGUGAAAAAACUCCGGUGGUAUGAGAUGGACCCGCGUUGGAUUAGCUAGUUGGCAGGGUAACGGCCUACCAAGGCGACGAUCCAUAGCCGGCCUGAGAGGGUGGACGGCCACAUUGGGACUGAGACACGGCCCAGACUCCUACGGGAGGCAGCAGUGGGGAAUAUUGCACAAUGGGGGAAACCCUGAUGCAGCGACGCCGCGUGAGUGAAGAAGUAUUUCGGUAUGUAAAGCUCUAUCAGCAGGGAAGAAAAUGACGGUACCUGACUAAGAAGCCCUGGCUAAAUACGUGCCAGCCGCCGCGGUAAUAC
rnacentral:rRNA from 1 species